UAGACGGCGCGCGGGCGGAGGGAGGGAGGCCACGACGGGUGGUGGCGGAGGACGACGGCGCGGACGGGCGCCGUGCGACGGGCGCGGAUGGAUCCACCGCAACGGGCGGUGGACAGAGGAUGGCGGCGACGGAUCUCCCCGCUUCCCAUGCCCGACGACGAGUGGGCGCGGCGGUCGAUCAGCGACGGGCGGAUCUGCACCGCCACCGCCCCCAUGGCUGGACGGAGCGGAGGAGGGCCGGGACGGACGGCACGCUGGGCGGCGACGGGCGGAUGAGGGCAGGGACGGCCGGAUCGGCCGCGAUGGGAAAAAAAAUUGGUACGCUGCUCUGCUCUGCUGCUUCGACUCAACCUACAACAGGGAAAAUGGGUUUGGGGCAUGGAUUUGCCGCCCCCGGGAGCAAGGAUGGAUCCUCCCAGGGGCAGCGCAGCGGGAUGACGAAGGGUGGCGGACCGGAUCUAGAACCGCAGCUGUGAUACCAUGUUACGAUUGAGGAGAGGAAGAGAGAGUGAACUCUGUAUGUAUUGGAGAGAGGCCCUUUGGGCUACAUAUACAUGAGACACACCCCAAACCCUAGAAUAGAGGAAAAUACUAUACUACCCUUGACUAUUAUACUCUAACAGUUUGUAGAUUUCGAGCUUCUCUUUAGUUUCAUUUCUCACCUCAAAUUCUAAAAUGGCUGUUAGAUUUGUAUGUAGGAAGAUCCUUGCUGGAUAUUGCACUGUAUACUUCAAUUGACAUUUAAUUUCUACAACUAAAAAUAGCAGCUGAAUAAACAGGUUGUUUGUCUUGGCUGUUUAACUAAUAUGGCCAUUACAAUAUGAUGCGAUUUUCAAAAGUUAGUCUUCAAGCUUUGAUUGGUACACUCCAUGAGAUUUGGAAGUGUAUCUGUAGAGUUAUAAUCUAGGUACCUUUUCAUUUUGCACAUACCAGCAAAAAUUUAAUCGAACUAUUAGGUUUGUUAUUUAUGUUACUGUAAUAAGCUGCAAGCCUGGGAGUCUCAUUCAAAGCUGCCAAUGUAAUCUUUGCAUCUGUCCUGCUUGGUGCUUUACUUCCAGAAUGCUAUUAUCAUAUUAAAAGUAGUGACAAAACAAAAUAGGUCAUGCUUAUGCAUGUUUUCAGUUUCAGGCUUUCAGCAAUAAACCUAGCCACCAUAAAUAAAUUUCUGCAAGACCAUUGUUGGUUCAUUUUUUUCGACUAUGUACUUCUUGUUGUUUGUGACCUGUAUGUUUUCUCCUUCCAUGUGAACAAAGCUGGCGUGUUAGCAUGUUAACAAUGUGUGGUACUCCCAGUACCACUGCGCUCAUGCGUCUCCAUAAAUAAUUGCUCGACAGCUGGAGCAGUGGAGCUUGCUUUGCCAAGAAUCGUUAUUAGAAUAUGCCAAAGGGGGACUUUUGCUAUUGCAGGCUCAAUUCCUACUAAACUUACUAAAUAGUGUGACAAAUAUGAUCCAGUAAUAACUUGGAAGUUUGAAACAGAGUUUUGUAGCAUGUUGGAUUUGAGAACCGAAAGAUCAGAUGACUGUAUCUAACACUUCAUCUCUUACCUACUUUGGCUUCUAUAUUGUUACCUCAUCUCCCUUGAA